GAUGAACGCUGGCGGCGUGCUUAACACAUGCAAGUCGAACGGAAAGGCCCAAGCUUGCUUGGGUACUCGAGUGGCGAACGGGUGAGUAACACGUGGGUGAUCUGCCCUGCACUUCGGGAUAAGCCUGGGAAACUGGGUCUAAUACCGGAUAGGACCACUUCUUGGAUGUUGUGGUGGAAAGUUUUUUCGGUGUGGGAUGAGCUCGCGGCCUAUCAGCUUGUUGGUGGGGUAAUGGCCUACCAAGGCGUCGACGGGUAGCCGGCCUGAGAGGGUGUACGGCCACAUUGGGACUGAGAUACGGCCCAGACUCCUACGGGAGGCAGCAGUGGGGAAGAGUGCACAAUGGGCGCAAGCCUGAUGCAGCGACGCCGCGUGGGGGAUGACGGCCUUCGGGUUGUAAACUCCUUUCGCUAGGGACGAAGCGUUUUGUGACGGUACCUGGAGAAGAAGCACCGGCUAACUACGUG
rnacentral:rRNA from 1 species